AUCUAAUAUCAUUACAGCAAUGAUAAGAUAAAUUGUAAGAAUUAUCUUGCAAGCAUGAAGCAAUAGCAAGAUGCAAAAGUUAUAUUUGUUAAUAAUUUAUAUAUGAUACAAAUUAAUUAUUAUCGAGUAUUUCAGCUUUAAAAUUUUUAGGUAUGUAAUACCAUAUAUAGGUUUCACUUAUGCAAAGUGUUGCAGGACCUAUAAAGCUGAAGUCAGG
rnacentral:lncRNA from 1 species